rnacentral:tRNA from 1 species
GUGGAUCACCCGGCGGCAUCCUCCGGAUCGUCCUCGAUCGGACUCAUAAUCCGUCGGCCGUGGGUUCGAGUCCCACCCGCCCCA